AGGACUUAAUCUGCUCAUUUUUUGGGAUAGGUAGAGGUAAAGAGAAGGUUGUUCGGAGAUUGUAACCCGAGGAGGGGGGCCAAGUUGAUGGCGAUAUUUUUUGUGGAUAAGACAAACAGUCUCUAAAAUAAAAAGGCAUGGCAAUGUCAGGACAGAGUGUUUUAAAAACAAUGGCCUACAGGGGCUACGAAAGGGAGCUGCACACAUAUAGCGUAUGGCUCUUUUUUGCAAAAUAAAUAGAGAACUGAACAAAUACUGAGAGCACACACCCCAAAACACAAUACCGUAUCUCAGAUAAGACUCUAUAAGAGCAUGGUAGGCAAUUUUGGCCACAUCACGUCCCAGAGAAUGUGUUGGAAUUUGAGAGAUAUCAUUGACAUAUAGCAGGAACAAUAUUGGUCCAAGAACAGAACCCUGGGGUACACCAGGGUUCCUCCUUCACAACUCCUCUGAAUCCAUAGGUUUCUAGCUUCUGUAGCAGUAUUGUGUGACUUACACAGUCAAACGCCUUAGAUAAGUCACAGAACACCGCCGCCGCACUCUCCCCAGCGUUCAACCCCAUGUACAGACUCUCUAAAAAAUUGAAAAUAGCAUCAGAUGUACCCAGUUUCGUCCGGAAUCCAAAUUGCUGAUGGUUAAGAACAUUAUGCCGUUUCAGAAAUGCCAUCAUCCUAGUUUUUACCAAUCUUUCUACAAGCUUGCCAAGCGUGGGAAGCAGGGCUAUGGGUCUGAAAUUUGAUGGGUCAUCAUAGUUUCCACCCUUAAAUAAUGGUAUAAUCAAGGCAUCCUUGAGUAAAUGUGGAAAGGACCCACUUGAAAGUGAAACAUUUAACACCUCAGCCAAAGAAUCAAGGGUUGGUAGCGGUAGCGCUGUUAGGACCUUUAGUGACAGCCCAUCCCAUCCAGAGGAGUUCUUAUUUUUCAUUGAGGAUAGAGCUUCCAUUAUUUCACUAGAAUCUGUUGGUCUAAAGAAAAAUGUUUCAGGCACCUUAAUGUUGUGUAAGUAUGAGCGCGGAUCUCCAACAGACUGAGGCAAUAAUAUUGAUAGACCCAAAGCAACACCCUGGAAAAAAUGAUUGAGUGUUUCGGCCGACACCGUGCUAUUAGAAACAGAAGGGUUCCCAUGUUCGCCACGUAAGUCAUUAACAAUUUUCCAAGACUCUCUAGACUUAUUUCUUGAUUGGUUUAUUUUACUUGAGUAGUAUAAGUUUUUUGCCAAUUUCACUGUAUCACGGUAAAUUUUGCGAUAUCUAUUAAAGUAGGAUAUGAAUUUGGAGUUGUCCAAGGCAAACUUUCUUAUGGAGUGCAAACACCGAAGAUUUUUACCAGAAACUAAUAGACCCCUGCUAUACCAGGGUCUUCUCCUUUUUUCCCUAAUUGUCACCAUGGGAAAAGUUGCCUCAAAAACAUCCACUAAAGUUGAAUGGAAACUCUCAAAAGGAUCACCGUUGUUAAGUAUGAUACCAUUCCAGUCUAUUGAAUUACAACAUUCUUUAAACUUACAGAAAUUUUUUCUAGUGAACAACCUUCCGCACUUUUUUUUUCUUGAGGUACACUUUUUUUCACUUAGAAGAAAGGAACAUAAUACGGCCUCAUGAUCAGACAACCCGGCAUUUACAAUUCUACAUGCAACCUGCGUUUCACAGAGAGUAGAGCAAACAUAAUCUAAAAGUGAUGCUGAAUUAGCAGUGAUGCGAGUAGGUUGGUCAACAUGCAAACUUAAAUUAAAAGAUUUCAGCACUCUAUGUAUCGACAAAUGAUUGUUAGAGUUAUUGCAGUCUAAAAAAUUUACAUUAAUGUCACCUGUCAAUAUUAGUGAUGCAUUUACCGAUAUUUGGCUUAAAAUGUUAUAUAAUUUAUCAAUAAAACUACUAAAAUUACUCGAGGGUGACCUGUAAAGGCCUAAAAUGUACAAAUUUAAUUCCUUAGAAUAAACAAUGCAAAAUUCAAAAGUUUUUUCUUCCAGGAGAUACUCAAACUUGGUUAUAUCAACAAAGUUAUAUCUUUCUAAAAACUUAUUCUCUAUUAAUAUCAAAGUUCCACCAUGAUUAUACUGAGUACGGGAAUAGAUGGAUGCAAGAGCAUAACUUUCUAUGAAAAAAGGUUCACCCUGUUUGAGCCAAUGUUCAGUCAAAACAACAAUGACAGGGUUAUCUUCAUAUGCUAAAAAUAAAGAGAGUUCAUCAGAUUUAUUUCUGACUGACUGAAUAUUUAAAAGGGCUAAAGCAAAAUGGACUCCGACUGAGUUUGGCCUAAAAAAGUUUUGUUGUGUUCCAGAGGUCCACUAUUCCAUGUUAUAUCCAUACAAGGCCGAACAUAUUAACGAAGAAAUUUCGAGUCCCAGAAGUACUGGUAUUGACGAAUCUGAAGAUACGAAUACCGUACCAACGCCACUAAUGUCCCCUCAACCGGCUGUUUUGGCAAGUAAUAGCAGAUGUUCCUCAAGAACCUCUACAAAUUUAGCUAAAUGUUCUGCACCAAAGAGAAAGUUAACAGAGCAACACGACAUGAUUGAAAAGGUUUGCAGCACAAUUUUAAGAAAUGGCAUAGCAGAUGAGUUUCAUGUAAUAGGAGAAAAUGUAGCUUACAAACUGCGAAGAAUUAAUGAAGAACAAAGAUUUUAUGCCGAACAAAUAAUAAACAAAGUUCUGUUUUACGCAAUCCAGAAUAAAUUGACUCCCGACUCAGACGUUGUAGUGAACAAACCUGUUUUCAGCUAUCAAACAAUCCAGAAGCCAGUCUCAAAUAAGUCUUAUUAUCAGCAGAAUUCAAAUGUUAUCCAACACCAACAGUUAUAUCAAUUUUCAAAGCCACUCCACACAGUCACAAAUAACACACCUUUUUCGCACUCAAAUGUUGCUUUUUCUGACCAACCUACAGUUUUGUCAUCUGCUGGCCAAAUUAAAGAAGAGUUGUCGGAUUUAAUUAUUUUAAAAUAAUAAAAAUGUUUUUAUUAAAUAAAUAAAUUUUAACAAUAAAUUUAAUCAUUUUGUAAUCGUAAAUUAGUUUCAUAAGUUUCAAUUACGAAUAAAUAAAUGUUUAUUUUCUUACCUUUAAA